rnacentral:rRNA from 1 species
AUACAGAGGUCCCAAGCGUUGUUCGGAUUCGACUGGGCGUAAAGGGUGCGUAGGUGGCCAGGUAAGUCUGAUGUGAAAUCUCGAAGCCCAACUUCGAAACUGCAUCGGAUACUAUCUGGCUAGAGGUCUGGAGGGGGGACUGGAAUUCUCGGUGUAGCAGUGAAAUGCGUAGAUAUCGAGAGGAACGCCAAUGGCGAAGGCUAGUCCCUGGACAGAUCCUGACACUGAGGCACGAAAGCUAGGGGAGC